GUCCAGCUGACGAAUCCCAAAUAGGACGAAACGUGCGUCAAACUGGAU
rnacentral:hammerhead_ribozyme from 1 species